CUUACACACACAGAAACACACAAUGCAUUCAUUACACACACUCAAUACACCCCUUACACACAUUCAAUGCAUCCCAUACAUACACAGAAACACACCUUGCAGCCCUUACACAUACAAACACAAUUUCACACAAUACAUUCCUUACACACAUAUCAGGACAUCCCCUACACACUCCACCCCCUGUGAACAAACUCAUUGGUGGAACAUGAAGGUGGACCCUGGGACCCAGACCUUGAGCUGUGUAAAGAACCCCCAAAAAUGGAGCUGCUUCCAGUUCUCCCAGAACAUUUUUGUGACCACAGUUACAAACCGCCUCCAGAGAGCCUGUUCUGCACCAGACAGUGGAGCCAGACUGCAGCUAGAGCCCAUCAUCAUCCUCAUCUGGUUGUAAGUAGGCAAUCUAGUAUAUUAUUCGUGGCACUAAGCUCUAUUUUACCUCACAUUAAAGAAACACUA